rnacentral:rRNA from 1 species
GACGAAGGAGGCUAGCGUUGUUCGGAAUUACUGGGCGUAAAGCGCGUGUAGGCGGUUGUUCAAGUCAGGUGUGAAAGCCUUGAGCUCAACUCAAGAAAUGCACUUGAUACUGGAUGACUAGAGGACCGGAGAGGAUAGUGGAAUUCCCAGUGAUAGUGGUGAAAUACGUAGAGAUUGGGAAGAACACCAGUGGCGAAGGCGGCUAUCUGGACGGUUCUG